CCUACGGGGGCAGCAGUGGGGAAUAUUGGACAAUGGGGGGAACCCUGAUCCAGCCAUGCCGCGUGUGUGAAGAAGGCCCUCGGGUUGUAAAGCACUUUCAGUGAGGAAGAACGCCUGGUGGUUAAUACCCAUCAGGAAAGACAUCACUCACAGAAGAAGCACCGGCUAACUCCGUGCCAGCAGCCGCGGUAAUACGGAGGGUGCGAGCGUUAAUCGGAAUUACUGGGCGUAAAGCGCGCGUAGGUGGCUUGAUAAGCCGGUUGUGAAAGCCCCGGGCUCAACCUGGGAACGGCAUCCGGAACUGUCAAGCUAGAGUGCAGGAGAGGAAGGUAGAAUUCCCGGUGUAGCGGUGAAAUGCGUAGAGAUCGGGAGGAAUACCAGUGGCGAAGGCGGCCUUCUGGACUGACACUGACACUGAGGUGCGAAAGCGUGGGUAGCAAACAGGAUUAGAUACCCCUGUAGUC
rnacentral:rRNA from 1 species